rnacentral:pre_miRNA from 1 species
GUAAGGGCGCAAACGAGCUGGUGUACAUUGCACAUGGUUGAAAAAACCAUGUGCAAUGUACACCAGCUCGUUUGCGCCCUUACAUU